CCCGUGGCGUUAGACUGUUACUCUGGCCUAUUUGUCCCCGUUGGUAACAGUCUAUAGCCAUGGUUG
rnacentral:pre_miRNA from 1 species